AAAGAGGGAAAAAUAAUGAGGGUUUGUUUUGGAAAUAUUUUUAGUAGAAUAAAAAUAAGUGGUAAAAAAAGCAAAUGAAAUGGAAAAUAAAUGGGGUUAAAAAUAAAAAAGGAAAGACAAAAAAAUAAAUAACACAAAGGGGUGUGCUGGGGAUUCAACCCCUGACCUUGGGGUCAUGGGGUCAACCCCCUUACCAACUGAGCCAUGCGCUCUUGAUGAUAAAAAUGCGCUUCAAUAGAAUAAAU
rnacentral:lncRNA from 1 species